UUUCUCUAUAUACAAUGCCCUGAAUUUCCAGAGACAGAAUUGGCUCAAUUUUCCGCUGCUGGUUUAUUUUGUUAUGGUUGUUGAACAAAUAGUUAAAAAUAUUGAGCUAAUUAUCCAAAAUGUAAGAACACCAGAAUAUCGGUUUCCUGAACGGGCAAAACUUCUUACCCAAGCCUGCAACAGCUGGGUGAACUACAUUGGGCUCAUUGUGUCAACUGAUUAAUUAGCAUUCAAGAAAUUGGGGGUUUUCCAUUGAGCUUGUCCAGCUGCAACCCGUAGACCAUCC
rnacentral:misc_RNA from 1 species